UACUCCUACGGGAGGCAGCAGUGGGGAAUUUUGGACAAUGGGCGAAAGCCUGAUCCAGCAAUGCCGCGUGUGUGAAGAAGGCCUUCGGGUUGUAAAGCACUUUUGUCCGGAAAGAAAUCCUUGGCUCUAAUACAGUCGGGGGAUGACGGUACCGGAAGAAUAAGCACCGGCUAACUACGUGCCAGCAGCCGCGGUAAUACGUAGGGUGCAAGCGUUAAUCGGAAUUACUGGGCGUAAAGCGUGCGCAGGCGGUUUGCUAAGACCGAUGUGAAAUCCCCGGGCUCAACCUGGGAACUGCAUUGGUGACCGGCAGGCUAGAGUAUGGCAGAGGGGGGGUAGAAUUCCACGUGUAGCAGUGAAAUGCGUAGAGAUGUGGAGGAAUACCGAUGGCGAAGGCAGCCCCCUGGGCCAAUACUGACGCUCAUGCACGAAAGCGUGGGGAGCAAACAGGAUUAGAUACCCUGGUAGUCCACGCCCUAAACGAUGUCAACUAGUUGUUGGGGAUUCAUUUCCUUAGUAACGUAGCUAACGCGUGAAGUUGACCGCCUGGGGAGUACGGUCGCAAGAUUAAAACUCAAAGGAAAAGACGGA
rnacentral:rRNA from 1 species